rnacentral:rRNA from 1 species
AGAGUUUGAUCAUGGCUCAGAUUGAACGUUGGCGGCAGGCCUAAAACAUGCAAGUCGAACGGUAACAGCGAGAGCUUGCUCUCGGCUGACGAGUGGCGGACGGGUGAGUAACACGUAGGAAUCUACCCAGUAGUGGGGGACAACCCGGGGAAACCCGGGCUAAUACCGCAUACGCUCUACGGAGGAAAGCGGGGGAUCUUCGGACCUCGCGCUAUUGGAGGAGCCUGCGUCGGAUUAGCUAGUUGGUGGGGUAAAGGCCUACCAAGGCGACGAUCCGUAGCUGGUCUGAGAGGACGAUCAGCCACACUGGAACUGAGACACGGUCCAGACUCCUACGGGAGGCAGCAGUUAGGAAUCUUGGGCAAUGGGCGCAAGCCUGACCCAGCCAUGCCGCGUGUGUGAAGAAGGCCUUCGGGUUGUAAAGCACUUUCAGCGGUGAAGAAAAGCUCAGGGAUAACACCCUUGAGUCUUGACGUUAGCCACAGAAGAAGCGCCGGCUAACUCCGUGCCAGCAGCCGCGGUAAUACGGAGGGCGCGAACGUUAAUCGGAAUCACUGGGCGUAAAGCGCGCGUAGGCGGUUUGUUAAGUGGGAUGUGAAAUCCCCGGGCUUAACCUGGGAAUUGCAUUUCAAACUGGCCGACUAGAGUACGGUAGAGGGAGGUAGAAUUUCCUGUGUAGCGGUGAAAUGCGUAGAUAUAGGAAGGAAUACCAGUGGCGAAGGCGGCCUCCUGGAUCGAUACUGACGCUGAGGCGCGAAAGCGUGGGGAGCAAACAGGAUUAGAUACCCUAGUAGUCC